rnacentral:rRNA from 1 species
CCUACGGGAGGCAGCAGUGGGGAAUUUUGGACAAUGGGCGAAAGCCUGAUCCAGCAAUGCCGCGUGUGGGAAGAAGGCCUUCGGGUUGUAAACCACUUUUGUACGGAACGAAACGGCUCGCUUUAAUACAGUGGGCUAAUGACGGUACCGUAAGAAUAAGCACCGGCUAACUACGUGCCGGCAGCCGCGGUAAUACGUAGGGUGCGAGCGUUAAUCGGAAUUACUGGGCGUAAAGCGUGCGCAGGCGGUUAUAUAAGACAGUUGUGAAAUCCCCGGGCUCAACCUGGGAAUUGCAUCUGUGACUGUAUAGCUAGAGUACGGUAGAGGGGGAUGGAAUUCCGCGUGUAGCAGUGAAAUGCGUAGAUAUGCGGAGGAACACCGAUGGCGAAGGCAAUCCCCUGGACCUGUACUGACGCUCAUGCACGAAAGCGUGGGGAGCAAACAGGAUUAGAUACCCUGGUAGUCCACGCCCUAAACGAUGUCAACUGGUUGUUGGGUGCAUUAGUACUCAGUAACGAAGCUAACGCGUGAAGUUGACCGCCUGGGGAGGUACGGCGCGAGUAGAACGACAANAGAGUAGACGGCGUGAGACGUGCCGACGGACGACGACGAGGGAGGAGG